rnacentral:rRNA from 1 species
UCCGAGUUGUAAUUUGCAGAGGGCGCUUUGGUGUUGGCAGCGGUCCAAGUUCCUUGGAACAGGACGUCACAGAGGGUGAGAAUCCCGUACGUGGUCGCUAGCCUCCGCCGUGUAAAGCCCCUUCGACGAGUCGAGUUGUUUGGGAAUGCAGCUCUAAAUGGGAGGUAAAUUUCUUCUAAAGCUAAAUACUGGCCAGAGACCGAUAGCGCACAAGUAGAGUGAUCGAAAGAUGAAAAGCACUUUGGAAAGAGAGUCAAAUAGCACGUGAAAUUGUUGAAAGGGAAGCGCUUGCAGCCAGACUUGCCUGUAGUUGCUCAUCCGGGCUUUUGCCCGGUGCACUCUUCUACAGGCAGGCCAGCAUCAGUUUGGGCGGUUGGAUAAAGGUCUCUAUCACGUACCUCUCUUCGGGGAGGCCUUAUAGGGGAGAUGUCAUGCAACCAGCCUGGACUGAGGUCCGCGCAUUUGCUAGGAUGCUGGCGUAAUGGCUGUAAGCGGCCCGUCUUGAAACACGGACCAAGGAGUCUAACAUCUAUGCGAGUGUUUGGGUGUCAAGCCCGAGCGCGUAAUGAAAGUGAACGGAGGUGGGAACCCUUUGGGUGCACCAUCGACCGAUCCUGAUGUCUUCGGAAGGAUUUGAGUAAGAGCAUGGCUGUUGGGACCCGAAAGAUGGUGAACUAUGCUUGAAUAGGGU